rfam:Pestalotiopsis fici W106-1 unplaced genomic scaffold PFICI_Scf_6, whole genome shotgun sequence.
GCCCCGCUGGCUCAAUGGUAGAGCAUUAGACUUCUAUGGUCGGUAGAAUUAUUGACUAUGCAAUCUAAAGGUUGCGGGUUCGAUCCCCGCGUGGGGUU